UACGUAGGGUGCAAGCGUUAAUCGGAAUUACUGGGCGUAAAGCGUGCGCAGGCGGUUAUGUAAGACAGAUGUGAAAUGCCCGGGCUUAACCUGGGAACUGCAUUUGUGACUGCAUGGCUAGAGUUUGGCAGAGGGGGGUAGAAUUCCACGUGUAGCAGUGAAAUGCGUAGAUAUCAGGAAGAACACCCGUGGCUAAGGCGGCUCUCUAGUACGGUACUGACGCUGAGACGCGAAAGCGUGGGGAGCGAACAGG
rnacentral:rRNA from 1 species